rnacentral:rRNA from 2 species
CCCUGGCUCAGGACGAACGCUGGCGGCGUGCCUAAUACAUGCAAGUCGAGCGAAUCGAUGGGAGCUUGCUCCCUGAGAUUAGCGGCGGACGGGUGAGUAACACGUGGGCAACCUGCCUAUAAGACUGGGAUAACUUCGGGAAACCGGAGCUAAUACCGGAUACGUUCUUUUCUCGCAUGAGAGAAGAUGGAAAGACGGUUUACGCUGUCACUUAUAGAUGGGCCCGCGGCGCAUUAGCUAGUUGGUGAGGUAAUGGCUCACCAAGGCGACGAUGCGUAGCCGACCUGAGAGGGUGAUCGGCCACACUGGGACUGAGACACGGCCCAGACUCCUACGGGAGGCAGCAGUAGGGAAUCUUCCGCAAUGGACGAAAGUCUGACGGAGCAACGCCGCGUGAACGAAGAAGGCCUUCGGGUCGUAAAGUUCUGUUGUUAGGGAAGAACAAGUACCAGAGUAACUGCUGGUACCUUGACGGUACCUAACCAGAAAGCCACGGC